rnacentral:tRNA from 1 species
GGCAAAGUGGCCGAGUGGUCUAAGGCGACAGACUGUGAGCUAUCCCGAUUCUCAGUCUCUAUUACCAUUAUACUAAUCCAUUAAAGUGAAUUGUGUCUAUCUCAGACUACAAUACAUCUGUUCUCUUCGGAGGCGCAGGUUCGAACCCUGCCUUUGUCG